GUGCUCACUUCAGCAGCACAGACAUCAAAAUUGGAAAGAUACAGAAAAGAUUAGCAUGGCC
ensembl:snRNA U6 U6 spliceosomal RNA